AUCGAAAAGGAUCCAGUCUCUGUCUUCUGGAACAUCUUGGAGGUGACUUCGGUCCUCAGACCUCGUGGGCUGUCCAGGGCCCGGAUGUCCAAGUUGGAGCGAAUGCGCUAGAGGAUGACAGGUGCCUGUGGCAUCCAGGUGGCAUUUCUCAUCAUUGCGGUUCAUGAUGCCAGCCAGCACAUUGACACCAUCAGCUUCAUAGUGGAAAGCAGACUCGGUGGAAAACACCAGCAGGGUCCUCAAGCAUGAACUUUGUAGAUGACAAUGUCUUGUCUCAGUGUCAAAAGGUUGGCCAUGACUGUGAGGACUUACAAAUGUUCCCAUCUGUCAAGACCCCUGUGACAAGCCACAGCUACCAUACACUGCCAGGGGACUAUGCCUGUCUUGUUUAUCGCCUACUAAAAGGCCCAGCACACUUGAGGACUCCAGUGACCUGAUACAAGGCCAGGUACACAGUAGAUUCUCAGCAAACGAAUGUGGAA